CAGUCGACGACUCUGGUAUUGAUUGGUGCUUGCAUCAUGAUUUACAUUUGAGUGAGUGGCGAACUGGUGAGUAACACGUGGGAAACCUGCCCAGAAGCGGGGGAUAACACCUGGAAACAGAUGCUAAUACCGCAUAACAACUUGGACCGCAUGGUCCGAGCUUGAAAGAUGGCUUCGGCUAUCACUUUUGGAUGGUCCCGCGGCGUAUUAGCUAGAUGGUGGGGUAACGGCUCACCAUGGCAAUGAUACGUAGCCGACCUGAGAGGGUAAUCGGCCACAUUGGGACUGAGACACGGCCCAAACUCCUACGGGAGGCAGCAGUAGGGAAUCUUCCACAAUGGACGAAAGUCUGAUGGAGCAACGCCGCGUGAGUGAAGAAGGGUUUCGGCUCGUAAAACUCUGUUGUUAAAGAAGAACAUAUCUGAGAGUAACUGUUCAGGUAUUGACGGUAUUUAACCAGAAAGCCACGGCUAACUACGUGCCAGCAGCCGCGGUAAUACGUAGGUGGCAAGCGUUGUCCGGAUUUAUUGGGCGUAAAGCGAGCGCAGGCGGUUUUUUAAGUCUGAUGUGAAAGCCUUCGGCUCAACCGAAGAAGUGCAUCGGAAACUGGGAAACUUGAGUGCAGAAGAGGACAGUGGAACUCCAUGUGUAGCGGUGAAAUGCGUAGAUAUAUGGAAGAACACCAGUGGCGAAGGCGGCUGUCUGGUCUGUAACUGACGCUGAGGCUCGAAAGUAUGGGUAGCA
rnacentral:rRNA from 1 species